ACUCAGAUUGAACGCUGGCGGCAGGCCUGGCGCUGAGUCGAGCGGACGAAGGGAGCUUGCUCGAUCUACAGCGGCGGACGGGUGAGUAAUGCCUAGGAAUCUGCCUGGUAGUGGGGGAUAACGUCCGGAAACGGGCGCUACCGCAUACGUCCUGAGGGAGAAAGUGGGGAUCUUCGGACCUCACGUCAGAUGAGCCUAGGUCAGAUUAGCUAGGUGGGGUAAAGGCCCACCAGGCGACAGAUCCGCUGGUCUGAGGAUGACCAGCCACACUGGAACUGAGACACGGUCCAGACUCCUACGGGAGGCAGCAGUGAAUAUUGCACAAUGGGCGCAAGCCUGAUGCAGCCAGCCGCGUGUGUGAAGAAGAAGGCCUUCGGGUUGUAAGCACUUUCAGGGGAGGAAGGCAGUAAGUUAAUACCUUGCUGUUUUGACGUUACCCGCAGAAGGCAUAACUCCGUGCCAGCACCGCGGUAAUACGGAAGGGUGCAAGCGUUAAUCGGAAUUACUGGGCGUAAAGCGCGUAGGCGGUUUGUUAAGUCAGAUGUGAAAUCCCCGGGCUCAACCUGGGAACUGCAUCGACUACUGAGCUGAGUCUCGUAGAGGGGGUAGAAUUCAGGUGUAGCGGUGAAAUGCGUAGAUCUGGAGGAAUACCGGUGGCGAAGGCGGCCCCCUGGACGAAGACUGACACUCAGGUGCGAAAGCGUGGGAGCAACAGGAUUAGAUACCCUGGUAGUCCACGCCGUAAACGAUGUCGACUUGAGGUUGUGCCCUUGAGCUUAGUGGCGCAGUAACGAUAAGUCGACCGCCUGGGAGUACGGCCGCAAGGUUAAACUCAAAUGAAUUGACGGGGGCCCGCACAAGCGGUGGAGCAUGUGGUUUAAUUCGAUGCAACGCGAAGAACCUUACCUGGUCUUGACAUCCACGGAAGUUUUCAGAGAUGAGAAUGUGCCUUCGGGAACCUGAGACAGGUGCUGCAUGGCUGUCGUCAGCUCGUGUUGUGAAAUGUUGGGUUAAGUCCGCAACGAGCGCAACCCUUAUCCUUGUUGCCAGUCCGGCCGGGAACUCAAGGAGACCGCCAGUGAUAAACUGGAGGAAGGUGGGGAUGACGUCAAGUCAUCAUGGCCCUUACGACCAGGGCUACACGCAAGCAAUGGUCGGUACAAAGGGUUGCCAAGCCGCGUGCAGCUAAUCCCAUAAAACCGAUCGUAGUCCGGAUCGCAGCAGUCUGCAACCUGACUGCGUGAAGUCGGAAUCGCUAGUAAUCGUGAAUCAGAAAGUCACGGUGAAUACGUUCCCGGGCCUUGUACACACCGCCCGUCACACCAUGGGAGGUUGCUCCAGAAGUAGCUAGUCUAACCGCAAGGGGACGGUUACCACGGAGGUGAUUCAUGACUGGGGUGAAGUCGCAAUAUAAGGUGCCGUAGGGGAACCUGCGGCUG
rnacentral:rRNA from 1 species